rnacentral:rRNA from 1 species
UACGGAGGGUGCGAACGUUAAUCGGAAUCACUGGGCGUAAAGCGCGCGUAGGCGGUUUGUUAAGUGGGAUGUGAAAUCCCCGGGCUUAACCUGGGAAUUGCAUUUCAAACUGGCCGACUAGAGUACGGUAGAGGGAGGUAGAAUUUCCUGUGUAGCGGUGAAAUGCGUAGAUAUAGGAAGGAAUACCAGUGGCGAAGGCGGGUCUCUGGGCAGUAACUGACGCUGAGGAGCGAAAGCGUGGGGAGCGAACAGG